rnacentral:lncRNA from 1 species
UUUUUCUUUUUUUUCUUUUUAGGGCUGCACCAAGGCAUAUGGAAGUUCCCAGGCUUCCCAGACCAAAUCAGAACUACAGCUGCCGGCCAGAGCCACAGCAAUACAGGAUCCAAGCUGCAUCUGCGACCUACACCACAGCUCAUGGCAACAUCAGAUCCUUAAUCCACUGAAUGAGGCCAGGGAUCAAACCCAUGUCCUCAUGGAUACUAGUCAGAUUCGUUUCUGCUGAGCCAUGAUGGAAACUCCUUAACUGUUUUUAAGUGUACAGUUCAGUAAGAUUAACUACUCACAUUGUUAUCCAAAAGAUCUCCAAAGCUUUUUCACUUUGCAAGAAUGAAACACUAUUCCCACUGAACAACGCCCUGCUUCCUCCUCCUGCCAGUCCCUGAUGACCACAGUUCUACUCUCUGUUUCCGUGACUGACUAUUUUAGAUAUUUAUAUAAGUGGAGUCAUAUAGCAUUUGUCUUUUUGUGACGGGCUUAUUUCACUGAGCAUAAUGUCUUCAAGGUUCAUCCAUGUGGUAGCAUGUGCCAGGAUUUUCUUCCUUUUAAGGCUGAAUAAUAUUCCAUCAUAUGUAUAUACCACAUCUUCUUUAUAUAUUUAUCUAUCAACAGACAUUUGGGUUGCUUCUACCUCUUGGCUCUUCUUUUUAGUUUUUUCUUCUUUUUUGCCUGCCCCUGUAGCAUAUGGAAGUUCCUGGACCAGGGACUGAAUCUGAGUGGAAACUGUGACCUAUUACACAGCUGCAGCAACACUGGAUCUUUAACCCACUUGUGCCAAGCAGGGGUUCCAACUGGUGCCUCCACAGAAACAAGACAGAUCAUUAACCCAAUGCACCAUGUUGGGAACUCCCCGACUAUCCAUUCUUUUUUUUUUUAAAGGGCCGUACCUGUGGCAUAUAGAAGCUAGGGGUUGAAUCAGAGCUAUAGCUACAGGCCUACUCCACAGCUGCAGCAAUGUGGGAUCUGAGCUGCAUCUGUUACCUAUGCUGCAGCUUUCAGCAAUACUGGAUUCUUAACCCACUGAGCAAGGCCAGGCAUUGAACCCAAAUUCUCAAGGAUACUAAUUGGGUUCUUACCCCAGUGAGCCACAAUGGGAACUCCCUGUCUACUCAUUCUUGAUCUUUGAUGUAUAGAUGCUAUGCAUGUGGUAUGUGGACCUUGUAUACCUAGAAAACUAUGAUGUGUGGCCUUUUAGUCCUUGCAGAGCCAAAGCGACAUGAGAGAGGAUAGGGGCUAUAGGGCCUCCUUGCCUUGGUUAAGUAAAUCCUGGAAAUUGUUGUUAUGGAAGUAACAUGAGGAUAUUCUUACCUCAUGUCUGUCACAGCGAGCCUGAAUCAGUGACAGAAAUGAAUACUGUGCAUGUUAAAACACAUUUAAAAUCAUGGAGUUCCCGUCGUGGCGCAGUGGUUAACGAAUCCGACUAGGAACCAUGAGGAUGUGAGUUCAAUCCCUGGCCUCAUUCAGUGGAUUAAGGAUCUGGUGUUGCUGCAAGCUGUGGCGUAUGUCACAGUGCUGCUCGGAUCCAGCAUUGCUGCAGCUGUGAGAUGGCAGCUGCAGCUCUGAUUCCAAUCCCUGCCUGGGAACUUCCCAUAUGCUGCAGGUGCGGCCCUAAAAAAAAAAAAGAAAGAAAAUCCUCUCUCAGUUUAUCAGCCUGUUGGGCGGAGAGCAGUUCGAGCUGGACUCAGUAACCAUCACCAUUACGCCUACCACCUCCCGAGCAGGAGUGUAAGUGCACAGGUGGAGUGCCAGGACAGGGCGUGUACGUACCUCAUUUCACCUUGGCAAUCACCUGUUGGACAGUUAAUAAUCUGAUGAGAAAGCUGAGGUUCUGAGACUUUUAGUUACUGGCUCAGAGGUGGAGGGGCUAAAUGCACAGCCCAAAUCUGUGCCCUUUUCUCCGCGGGCUAUCCUAUUCUUCAUCAUGGACUGGUGAUCCUUUCCUCAACCACUCUAGCCAUUUGCACACUCACUUGGCCUUUCAUCUACUGAGCAGAGCUGGCACAUAACUCUAACGAGUGUGUCCUGUGUGCUAGAAACUGUCAGGUGGCUUACGUACGGAGGUGACUCUUAAUCCUCACAGUUCUAAGAGGUGGUCACCUUUGAACUUUUUAUUUGAAUAGUGUCAUUUAUUUUCUAAGCAGGAGUCCAUACAGAAAAGUACACAGAUCCUAAGUAUACAUCCCAGUGGAUUUUCACAAGAUGAACACACCUAGGUGGGAUCACACCUGGAUCAAGAAACAGAACAGCAUCUCCCCUCCCCUCUCCUGAGCAUCCACCCUCUCUCUUGAAUACCAUUAUCUCUGUGCAGCAGGCAUGAGGAUUUUUGUGUCUGAUUCAGAGACAGUUGCAAAUAAUUAAAGAAACAGAUUUUUUUUAAAAAUACAGGUUUAUUUAAUUAAUUUUUUCAGCCGUGACCUCAGCAUGCUUCCUGAGCCAGGGAUCAAAGCCAAGUCGUAGCAGUGAUAACAUGAAAUCCUUAACUGCUUGGCCACCAGGAAAUUCCCAAGGUUUUAUAUUUUAUAAUCUCAGAAUGAGUUUAAUAAGCCAGGCCUCUCCUGUCAUGUGGGAGUAACUUCAAAGAGAAGGGUACAGAUAACAAUUUUAAAUCAGAAUCUUUGAAAUGUCCUAUGACUUCUGUGAGAAUAACUUAAAUGCCCCAUAUUGAAAGGCAUUUCAGCAAUAUUUAUUUUUUUAUUUUUUAAAUUAAUAAAAAAAUUUUGGCCACAUCUGUGGCACACUGAAGUUCCCAGGUCGGGGACUGAACCAAUGCUGCAGCAGUGACAACUUGGGAUCCUUAACCACUAGGCCACAAGGGAAUGCCAAUAUUUAAAAAAACUUUUUUUUGUCUUUUUAGGGACCCACCCACGGCAUAUGGACGUUCCCAGGCUAGGGGUCAAAUCGGAGCUGUAGCCACCAGCCUAUGCCACAGCCACAGCAAUGCAGAUCCAAGCUUCGUCUGUGACCUACACCACAGCUCAUGGCAACGCCCGAUCCUUACCC